GAGCAUCUUUUACAUGCUGGGAUUUUAUUUUAAGUAUUUGCCUUCCCACUUUUCUUCUUUCCCUACUCCACCUACAUCAACUUGUCUCUCUCUGUCAGAAGAUCUGCCUUUCCAUAGCUGGGUGACCAGAGGAUGACUGGCUGCCAUGUGGAUAACAGACUGAGGAGAGAGGAGUCAAGUGAGAAGACCAUCUAGGAACUACGGCAGAAAGCUGAGCUGGAGUCCAAGAAGUUGGUUGAGGAAGAGGGAUGUGGUAAAUUGCCUACCAAAUACUUUUCAUCCAGGAUUUUGUUUCUAGAAGACCAAGACUCUGAGAUCAGAAAGGAUUCACAGGCAUAGACCAAGCAAAUGGACAAGGUAUGAAGUUGCAAAGGAGAAAUUCUCUAAGUCUCAAAAGAGACAACUUGCCACAGUCUCCCCAUCCUGACUUCCCAUGCUAGAAGAAUAAAAGGUGGGAAAGAGAAAGAUAAUGAUUGAAGGAGAUCUAGAAGACUUAAGGGUAGAGUGGAACUCCACCUUACCUCCUAAAAGAGGUAGAGAUGGUACAAGUCCUCACAGAAGUUUGUGGAACUCAAUAUCAAAAUAAAUUGUGUCCUUUCGAGCAAUAUCACUUAAUGUACAAACAUUGCUCUAGAGGUGGUGGCUGUGUGGCAUAAGUGGAGGGGACCAUAGGUAGCCUUCCUGAAGGGCGAAGGGGAAGAAAGGAGAAAAGAAAGUCAGAGAAUUGCCAGACCUGAAGAAUUAUCAUGCCUGGUGCAAUGGACAUCUCAGUGGUAAUCUGUGCGGACACAUGACUUAUUAGCAUGGCAGCACACUCCUCUCAAAGUCUUGCACUACAUAUUAUUGUAGAACUGUGGACCAACCCAGCUUUGGGGUGCAGAGAGAGGAGUGGGUAGGUGGCUAAAGAACUGGACAGGAAAGGGAGGAAGAAAAACCAUACAAGGACAGAAGUUAAAUCUUUGAGAAUGAAAACAAAUGUAAUGAUAAAAAAAUGAAUGUAAUAAUUCUUCAUAUCUGAUUGCUGAUGAGAUUCAUAUUCUAUAAACACUG